GCAGGAUUGCAGAUGAUUUUGUGUAGACUGCAGUUGUUGUUGGAGACUGAGUAAAGGCAUAUCGCAUGUGGUAUAAAACAGCUUUUUUGGUUGCCAAAGGAUCUCUUCAUUGUCAGAAUCUGAUACAUCGAAUAGUGAAACAGAAGGGGGUUCACUUCAUGUUGGAGACCAAGGGGAAAAGUGUCCGAUCAACUGUGGAUCAUCUGCAAAGUGUUCUGAAAGAAAGCAAAGGGACCAUUGUUUUAAAAGUGUCACCACAAACCACUUCAGAUGUAUGUACGAGCACUGCAACCCUCUCUCUGAUACACUGAUACCAUGCCGUGAGUCUGGCUUGUCAUUUCAUACUGGAUAUAUACUUCAGAUCAUAAACAAGGCUGAUUCCAAUUGGUGGCAAGGACGUUGCUCAUCCCCUCUCCAGAACUUCAGGAGUGGCGUGUGGCAAGCUCCAGUACAACAAAUCAGAAUCCACAAAGCUGUAGUCUGAAGGGUUAACAUGCCUACGUGCCGACCCUUGUAGGCCUCUGUACUUGUUUUCCUGUACGACCCUGUGCUGUCUCUUCUUGGACAACCUUGCAUAAGUAUCAUCAUGUACCAUAAACAAUGUUAUCAGCUUGCCUUAGCCAAAAUAUCUCAGCUAAUACGCACGCACAUAUUUGUCUGUUAUUUCUCUCUUUCCAAUCCUGAAUGCUGAACCUAUUACAAGACAUAUACUUUGCUAAUACGUCACUAUAUUAGGAUGUCUUUGCUUAUACCCUAUAUAAGCCUAUAUUUGGACUACAAUAAACGGAACUUGUUAUUCUGA